AACUUCUGAAUGUUGACCUCGGAUCAGGUAGGAAUACCCGCUGAACUUAAGCAUAUCAAUAAGCGGAGGAAAAGAAACCAACAGGGAUUGCCCUAGUAACGGCGAGUGAAGCGGCAACAGCUCAAAUUUGAAAUCUGGCUCUCGGGCCCGAGUUGUAAUUUGUAGAGGAUGCUUUUGAUGCGGUGCCUUCCGAGUUCCCUGGAACGGGACGCCAUAGAGGGUGAGAGCCCCGUCUGGUUGGAUGCCAAAUCUCUGUAAAGCUCCUUCGACGAGUCGAGUAGUUUGGGAAUGCUGCUCUAAAUGGGAGGUAUAUGUCUUCUAAAGCUAAAUACCGGCCAGAGACCGAUAGCGCACAAGUAGAGUGAUCGAAAGAUGAAAAGCACUUUGAAAAGAGAGUUAAAAAGUACGUGAAAUUGUUGAAAGGGAAGCGUUUAUGACCAGACUUGGGCUUGGUUAAUCAUCUGGGGUUCUCCCCAGUGCACUUUUCCAGUCCAGGCCAGCAUCAGUUUUCGCCGGGGGAUAAAGGCUUCGGGAAUGUGGCUCUCUCCGGGGAGUGUUAUAGCCCGUUGCGUAAUACCCUGGCGGGG
rnacentral:rRNA from 1 species